GAUGAACGCUGACAGAAUGCUUAACACAUGCAAGUCAACUUGAACUUCGGUUUGGGUGGCGGACGGGUGAGUAACGCGUAAAGAACUUGCCUCACAGAUAGGGACAACAUUUGGAAACGAAUGCUAAUACCUGAUAUUAUGAUUUUAGGGCAUCCUAGAAUUAUGAAAGCUAUAUGCGCUGUGAGAGAGCUUUGCGUCCCAUUAGCUAGUUGGAGAGGUAACGGCUCACCAAGGCGAUGAUGGGUAGCCGGCCUGAGAGGGUGAUCGGCCACAAGGGGACUGAGACACGGCCCUUACUCCUACGGGAGGCAGCAGUGGGGAAUAUUGGACAAUGGACCAAGAGUCUGAUCCAGCAAUUCUGUGUGCACGAUGAAGUUUUUCGGAAUGUAAAGUGCUUUCAGUUGGGAAGAAAAAAAUGACGGUACCAACAGAAGAAGUGACGGCUAAAUACGUGCCAGCAGCCGCGGUAAUACGUAUGUCACAAGCGUUAUCCGGAUUUAUUGGGCGUAAAGCGCGUCUAGGUGGUUAUGUAAGUCUGAUGUGAAAAUGCAGGGCUCAACUCUGUAUUGCGUUGGAAACUGUGUAACUAGAGUACUGGAGAGGUAAGCGGAACUACAAGUGUAGAGGUGAAAUUCGUAGAUAUUUGUAGGAAUGCCGAUGGGGGAAGCCAGCUUACUGGACAGAUACUGACGCUGAAGCGCGAAAGCGUGGGUAGCACACAGG
rnacentral:rRNA from 1 species